GCAGUCGAGCGAAUGGAUUAGAGAGCUUGCUCUCAUGAAGUUAGCGGCGGACGGGUGAGUAACACGUGGGUAACCUGCCCAUAAGACUGGGAUAACUCCGGGAAACCGGGGCUAAUACCGGAUAACAUUUUGAACUGCAUGGUUCGAAAUUGAAAGGCGGCUUCGGCUGUCACUUAUGGAUGGACCCGCGUCGCAUUAGCUAGUUGGUGAGGUAACGGCUCACCAAGGCAACGAUGCGUAGCCGACCUGAGAGGGUGAUCGGCCACACUGGGACUGAGACACGGCCCAGACUCCUACGGGAGGCAGCAGUAGGGAAUCUUCCGCAAUGGACGAAAGUCUGACGGAGCAACGCCGCGUGAGUGAUGAAGGCUUUCGGGUCGUAAAACUCUGUUGUUAGGGAAGAACAAGUGCUAGUUGAAUAAGCUGGCACCUUGACGGUACCUAACCAGAAAGCCACGGCUAACUACGUGCCAGCAGCCGCGGUAAUACGUAGGUGGCAAGCGUUAUCCGGAAUUAUUGGGCGUAAAGCGCGCGCAGGUGGUUUCUUAAGUCUGAUGUGAAAGCCCACGGCUCAACCGUGGAGGGUCAUUGGAAACUGGGAGACUUGAGUGCAGAAGAGGAAAG
rnacentral:rRNA from 1 species